GCAAAUUCGUGAAGCGUUCCAUAUUU
rnacentral:ncRNA from 6 species